GAUUGUUAUUGUAUUCAGACGCUCGUGACAGCAGUGGGGCAAGACCUCUCCCUGCCAGCCGUAGUUAGAGCCAUGGCGAACAGCGAUAGGUCUUGGAAAGCGGUAGAGUCCUUCUGCGAGGAGGUAAUGUCGCAGAAGGAGGCGGCGGAGCGCAUGAGAGAAGAUGAUUUGAGCUCUCAUGCCAUCUGUCGUAGGAGGGUUGGGCGUAGGCGAGUCGCCCACGACCGCCGCCUACCCCCUUGAGAGGGGCUCUCGGGCGAUGGACACGGGGAGUCUAUCGCCCGAAAAGAAACCAGUCCCCGAGUCGGGAGGCGCACUAUUGUGUUCCUAGUGUGCC